AUCCAUAUUCUCAAACUCCAACUACCCAAAAUCAAAAGCCUCCAGAACUUUCAUCUAAGGUUCCAAGCUCCGCCGUUCCAAACCCACAACUACCCAUCGUGUCAAAUCUUGUUCCAAACCCACAUCCCCAUCCAGAACGUUCAUCUAGGGUUCCAAGCCUGCAUUGUUCGAAACCCACAACCCCCAUUGUUCCAAAUCUCGUUCGAAACCCACAUCCCCCGUCGUUCGAAACCCACACCCAGAUAUUUAUUGAAACCCUCCAUCCUUCCCAUCGGCUCUAUUCGAUCGAGGGUCUGUGUUUUUUUUUUGUUGUCGUCGCCUAUGUCCAAACACAUGCCUCAGUCGAAACCCAAAUUUGUUCUUGUGUUUUCCUCUAUAGUCACUUCUGCCAUGGCCAUCGUGAAAGGCAUUUUUUCGCUCCUUUAUUCAUGUCUACCGAUUCGCGUUUGGGAUGUUUAACUGAUUCGCGUUUGGGAUGUUUAGGGUAAUCUGGGUUAAAUUGAUUUGGUGGUUUGGGAUGUUUAACCAAAUUAGGGUAUUUCGGGUUCGAAAAUUGGGGAUUUUGGUUAAGUUGAUUUGGGAUUUUUUCUAAAUUUGGCUAUUUCGUCGUGCCUGGAAUUGAAUUAGUGGUGGAAUUGGUUGUAAUUGAAUCAUUUUCUGGGGAUUUAUGGGCUAAUCAUCUCAAAAUCAAAUGAGAAGGAAGUUGAAGAAGUGAAUCCCAGGUGAAUCUGGGAGUGCUUGACGGAGCUGUUCAGCAUGGUUGAACCCAGUCGUUUGAGAGGGCUAGUGAUUAUUUUUGGUCCGGUAAGCUUUGAUACGAUGACAGACAUUGGACGUGAUGAGGCUAGGGUGGUGGAGCCUUUUGAUCCAACAUCACUCUGCAGUGAUGUUAACCAGAUUAACGCUACUGCUAUGGGUCUUGCUGGGUCGGUGAAUGCCGCCUUGAUGAAGUUCCAACAUGUAGACACUCAUCUAGAGGAACUUCACAACAUUCAGUAGGGGUGCACAUGGGUUGGGUUGGAUGGAUUUUUAGGCUAAUUAAGAUCCGAACCGAUCAAAAUUGUUUGGGUUGGGUUGGGUUGGAUUUCAUGAACUUUUACCUUCGGACCCGAUCCAACACAAUCCGACGAUCUUUGGGUUGGUUCGGAUGGGUUAAUUGGAUCGACAUAUUAAAAUAAUAAUAAAUUUGGAAUAUUGAAAAAAAAUAGAAAAAACUAGUAAAUUUGUUAUAGUACCAUAUAACAUAAAAAUGACACAAAACAUUGUACUAAAUAGCAUGAAAUAGUAUUACAUAAAUGACAUAUAGUCAAAUACCAUGAAAAACAACUACGACAAUGAAAUCAAACUAAUCAAUACGACAAUGACAUAGAUACUUAGAAUUUAGAUGUCUUUCAUUCUCCGAUAUGCCAAAUAAAAUUGAAACAAAGAGUGAAGACUAUGUAAAGUGAAACCGUGAAAUAAAAUUAGGGUAUUAGAAUUUUGAGGUUGGAUAGGUAAAAUUAUUAAAAAUAUAUAUCAAAUAAUAUAUUAUUAUUGUAUGUUUGGAUUUCGGGAUGGGUUGGGUGGAUUAUUAUUAAAUCCGAUAUCCGAUCCGAAGUUGAUUGGAUUGUAAUAAAAUCCGUCCGAUUGACCCGUUUACCCAAUCCAACCCGCAUUUUUUCCAUUGGGUUGAGUUGGAUCGGGCAGGUUCAUUGGAUCUACCCGACUCAUGUGCACCCCUAACAUUGAGGCUGGGAUGCAAGCUAAUAUGGAGAGGGUAGACAAGUAUUUGAGCAUGGUUGAGCAACCAGUCGUAAGAAAAUCAGAUCCUAAAGGUGGUAGUCAAUCUAAAGGGACUGCAUCUGCUGGUAGUAUUAAAUCUAAAGGCACUGCAUCAGAUCCUAAAGGUCGUAGUCAAUCUAAAGGGACUGCAAGUGCUGCUGGUAUUAAAUCUAAAGGCACUACAUCAGCUGUUGGUAAAAACAAAAGGAAGAAGACAAGGGCUGCAACUGAGGUCCUGAAAACGAAAUAUUGAACAUUGAUUUUGAUCAUACUGGUGCUGAUUUUGAGAAGGAUGAAGGUGCAUUUGCUGGUAUCCAAACCCAACAGAGUGAUGCUGCUAGUGCUGAGAAUAUUUGCACUCCAAAGACUCCAAGAAACCCACCCUUUCUUACACCUUGGUUACAAAAAAGCUUUAGAAGUGCUACAUCAGUAGAGGGACUUGUUGGAGCAUUUGUUAGGCAAGAUGUCGAACAAACAAAGCAGAAGCUCUUUCGUUCCCCAACUUCCACCAAAAAGGCUUAAAGCUCUACUCCAUUUGAAACUUCUCUCCCUGGCACUAACAACAUGAUCGUGUUAACCCAAGCAAGACUAUACAUUCGUCCUGCACCUUCUCCCCUUGUUCUCAACAGUGCCAAUUUAAAGUUUAACCUCCCUUCGGAGUUGGACUAGGGUCAUUUUGAAGCUCAAGCUGCUAUUUACUUAUUCCAUAAGGACAAAGACCUAGAGUAAGUAGAUGUUUAUUUGUAAUCUGUUACAACCCUGUUUACUUACUUACGUGUGAAGCUGAUGCUGGUAAAUGUAAUUUAAAUGUUCUGCUUUGCUAUAUCGGGGAGGUUUUGCUAACAAUGGGUCCUUAUGAAGCAAAGAGAAAGGAUUUCGAUUGCUUGUUUCCUGGUCAACAAAUUAGUGAGAAGAUAUCACGUCAACAGAGCUAUCUCCUAGAUGAUACUAUAUGGUGCAUUCCCCCAUCAUUUGUGGAGGAUGUUUACAAGGGUCUUUCCAUUGAGAAGUUGGUUAGGGCUUACUUCAACCCCUUCAUGGCUCCAUACCACACAUUAAGAUAUAUUUAUGUUCUUAUGAAGAAUGACUCGGGGCAUUGGUAUUUGAUGGUCAUUUCUAUUGUUGAAUAUGUCAUCUAUUACUUUGAUUCUCAUCUCAAUGUGGAGGACAUACCCAUAAGAUGUGCAAGCAUGCGAACAAUGUGUGAUACACUUGUAUAAAUGAUGAGUUCAUCAGAAAAAUAUGUUGAAAUGGAUUUCUACUGAAAAAUGGUAGACUUCCAUUCAUGGCAGCUGAGGGAAGCAAGGGUAAUCCCCAACACAGGAAGCAGGCAUGAUUCAGCGAUUUGGCUGCUGAGUUGGCUUGAGAUGGGGGAUGGGUUUAGCCCCAAUCAUAGUGGAUAUGUUUCCAAGUUGCAUACAUGGCCAAAAUAGCAUUAAAGCCAUGCGGUUUCCAAGUUCAUUUUAUUGUAAAACGUCAGAUUGGAAUUAAAGCCUUGCGGUUUCUAAGUUCAUUUUAUGGUAAAACGUCAUAUUGGAAUUAAAGUCUUUCUCCCAUCCACACUAACACCCCACCAAUUCCCAUUAACUCUAAUAACCCCCCAUCAACAAACCCUUCUAUAUAAUCUCACCCUCAAGUCCCUUUCUAGCACACAAUCCCCUUAUUUCAACACAUCUACCUUCCACACUUUGUUUAGUGAAGAAAAAAUGGCCAGCUCUAGCCACAUCAAGGAGGAGCCCAUUGAAAUUUCUUCAGCUGAUUCAAAUCCUGAAUAUGAGGAAAAGAUGAUAUAGCCAGAGGUUCAGCAACCAAGUGAACGUGAAGUGAGAGAGAGGCGUUUUCCUUUUAACCCUAGAUUCAACAUGGAUAUUACGUCUUCUCAGUGUUCAGCAGGGCAGGCCUUGGUAGUGAAAUUGAUUUUUUUUUAUUCAUUUUUUUAGCAGGGCAAACCAUAUUACGUCUUCUCAUUCAUUUUUUUUAAUUUCUAUUCUAUUCUAAACACACAUUACUUACAAUUACAUAA